UCCGCCCGCGGGAGCAGAGAUCGGCGACCGGUCACCUCGGGCCGGGCCCGUCACCGAAACGAGCCCCUCAGCGCCUCGUCUGUUCAUCUUCCCAGUAUCUCCAGGGAUGAGGACGCCCCCGCCUCUCUGGGCAGCCUGUUCCCGUGCUUAACAAUCCUCUCGGUAAAGUUCUUCCCAAUGUCCAGCCUGAACCUUAGAUGGGCACAGUUUAAAUCCGUUUCCCCUUGUCCUGUCAUUCGUUACAGGAGAGCUCGACCCCCACCCCGCCACAGCUCCCCGUCAGGUAGUUGUGGAGUGCCCGUGUGUCAGCCCCCUCCUCUCCAGGCUGAACGUCCCCAGCUCCCUCAGCCGCCCCUCAUCACACCUCUUCUCUAGACCCUUCCCCAGCUCUGAUGCCUGUCUCUGGACACGCUCCGGCACCCUCAUGUCCUUGUGGUGAGGAGCCCAAAACUCGAUGCUGUGCUGGCCCACGGCCCGUGUGAGGGAGCACCCGCCUUGCCCCAGAGCCUGCCCCCUGCGAGAGUCCCAACCCUCUGUAUUCCCCCUGCCUGUGGGGAGUUUUAGGCGUUGAGCACCGCGUGGGGAAUUCACAAAGGAGGCAAAUGCCCGGAGCCCCAAAACUGUGGCACUAACCCAGGUCACCCCUCAGGAAUAAAUCCUUGGCUUGCCCUGCAAAGCCUGUGUAGCUUCCCUUCCUCCCCUCUCUGCCAGAGGAGAUGGAUCUGGGAACUCAGGAUGUCUCAAAGGCAUAGGUGGGAUCAACACGAAUUAUCUUUCCCAAUGAGUGGAGAGCAGUGAGUGCCACAGGGUCACAGGGUCUCUUGAUGGUCCUGAUUUUUGAAAGGACAUCGUUUCAGAAGGCAUGACUCAUCAUGUGCAUUAAUAUCUUCCCUAAGAGAAUAACAAAAGCUUCUGCUGUUAUGUCACCAGGAAGAACAAUACGCUUUGGUGGGGCUGUGGUGGAGUAAAUGGCUGGUGCUGCUGUGGUACCGAGGGAGGGUGCUGGCCUACCAGCCGUGAAGCUCAUGCCUUUGCCUUUCAGUCUUAAAGCACAUUUAUUACCCUGAAUGAACAUUAAAAUGUUACUAAAAGCUUCACAGCUAGCAGAAGGGUGAUGGACCACAUAGCCCAAAAUAGAGACCUGACCUAUUAGUUGGGCAGUUUUUGCAAGUCAUUUCCCCCAGAUCCUCACCAUGGGACAACCUCGAGGGCCAGGAGCGCCUAAAGAGAGCGGUUACAAACCUUUGUGGGGUUACACAGCAAUUCAAGGUGGGUGGUGGUGAAAUGAAGUGCAGUUUUGGGGUUGUUAGACAGAAUUACUUUGAAAAGAGUACCUGGAACACAGCAUAAGUGCAAGGGCAGCCUUCACUGCGCUAGCACGCCCUGUCCCGCCUCGAGGAGAAACCACGCGCUUUCUGGCAAAGUAACUGCCAGGCCAUUCCAAGGGAAGGGUUUCAAUUACUUGUCAUCUGCACAUGUGUGGAUAUUGGACAAAUCACACUGCUGAAGCUGUGCACCUGUCUAUUUUGGGGCAUAUACUUUCCUUUCUGCAGCUUAAGAAGUCAGAGGAUAAACACUAGCAUCACUGAAGGUCUGAGCCUGCCUCAUUAUUGAGAAGGUAAAACUUUUUUGCAGAGAGCCUGUCACAUUCCUGUCUCUGAACAGACAUGAACACACCACACAAUCAGUAGCACCUGAUCGAACUGCCCCCACUGGAGAGAAAGCUCAGCUGCUUCAGGAAGAUUUUACUCUGUGGCUGGACCAGUUCUGGAAGCUGGAAAAGCAACAGGCUCCCAGGGCCAGGGAAGUGCCACAGCUAUUGAAUUUUGGGGAUUACACACGGAGGAUUAUGUUGAAUAAAACAAGAAGAACAUCAGCUCUUGGCCCAUCUUGCUGACUUGUAGGUCAGAGAGCCAAGUGCUGCAGUAAUGAUGCCUUAAACCCCCAACCUUCCCUUCUUAGAGGAUUUCUACCAUACAGGUUGUCCUCUUCACACAUGCUCACAAGCCUAUGCUUGGCUGCUCCUGC